AUAGUGAUCCGGUGGUUCUGAAUGGAAGGGCCAUCGCUCAACGGAUAAAAGGUACUCCGGGGAUAACAGGCUGAUACCGCCCAAGAGUUCAUAUCGACGGCGGUGUUUGGCACCUCGAUGUCGGCUCAUCACAUCCUGGGGCUGAAGUAGGUCCCAAGGGUAUGGCUGUUCGCCAUUUAAAGUGGUACGCGAGCUGGGUUUAGAACGUCGUGAGACAGUUCGGUCCCUAUCUGCCGUGGGCGCUGGAGAACUGAGGGGGGCUGCUCCUAGUACGAGAGGACCGGAGUGGACGCAUCACUGGUGUUCGGGUUGUCAUGCCAAUGGCACUGCCCGGUAGCUAAAUGCGGAAGAGAUAAGUGCUGAAAGCAUCUAAGCACGAAACUUGCCCCGAGAUGAGUUCUCCCUGACUCCUUGAGAGUCCUGAAGGAACGUUGAAGACGACGACGUUGAUAGGCCGGGUGUGUAAGCGCAGCGAUGCGUUGAGCUAACCGGUACUAAUGAACCGUGAGGCUUAACCUUACAACGCCGAAG
rnacentral:rRNA from 1 species